UCCGGCAUAACCCCGGGAAACUGGGGAUAAUUCUGGAUAACGCACAUAUGCUGAAUGCUUAAUGCGUCAAAUGGAUUCGUCUGCCCAAGGAUGGGUCUGCGGCCUAUCAGGUAGUAGUGGGUGUAAUGUACCUAUUAGCUUACGACGGGUACGGGUUGUAAGAGCAAGAGCCCGAAGAUGGAUUCUGAGACAUGAAUCCAGGCCCUACGGGGCGCAGCAGGCGCGAAAACUUUACAAUGCGGGAAACCGUGAUAAGGGGACACCGAGUGCCAGCAUCAUAUGCUGGCUGUCCGGGUGUGUAAAAUACACCUGUUAGCAAGGGCCGGGCAAGACCGGUGCCAGCCGCCGCGGUAACACCGGCGGCCCGAGUGGUGAUCGUGAUUAUUGGGUCUAAAGGGUCCGUAGCCGGUUUGGUCAGUCCUCCGGGAAAUCUGACAGCUCAACUGUUAGGCUUUCGGAGGAUACUGCCAGACUUGGAACCGGGAGAGGUAAGAGGUACUACAGGGGUAGGAGUGAAAUCUUGUAAUCCCUGUGGGACCACCUGUGGCGAAGGCGUCUUACCAGAACGGGUUCGACGGUGAGGGACGAAAGCUGGGGGCACGAACCGGAUUAGAUACCCGGGUAGUCCCAGCCGUAAACGAUGCUCGCUAGGUGUCAGGCAUGGCGCGACCGUGUCUGGUGCCGCAGGGAAGCCGUGAAGCGAGCCACCUGGGAAGUACGGCCGCAAGGCUGAAACUUAAAGGAAUUGGCGGGGGAGCACAA
rnacentral:rRNA from 1 species